UGAGGCAGGAGAAUUGCUUGAACCCGGGAGGUGGAGCUUGCAGUGAGCCGAGAUCGCGCCACUGUACUCCAGCCUGGGUGACAGAGCGAGACUCCAUCUAA
rnacentral:miRNA from 1 species